UAUGUUAGCUUGCUWAUAUAUUUAGUAGCAAAUGGGUGAGUAACACGUACCUAACCUACCUUUUGGACCGGGAUAACUAUUGGAAACAGCAGCUAAUACCGGAUAAAAUAAAAAAAUGCAUGUUUUUUUAUUAAAAGGAGCCUUUAAAGCUCCACCAAAAAAUGGGGGUGCGCAACAUUAGUUAGUUGGUAGGGUAAAGGCCUACCAAGACGAUGAUGUUUAGCGGGGCCAAGAGGCUGUACCGCCACACUGGGAUUGAGAUACGGCCCAGACUCCUACGGGAGGCAGCAGUAAGGAAUAUUCCACAAUGAGCGAAAGCUUGAUGGAGCGACACAGAGUGCAG
rnacentral:rRNA from 1 species